rnacentral:lncRNA from 1 species
CUCUUUGUGCACCCGCCCACAUGGUUUGCGGUCUUUUUGCCCUUCGUUGCUCUCCACCGGUCUGGGCAGGGUCUGAGGACUCCGGAGAGCAAGGCAUGGUUCCGCCUCGUGCCGCAGGUUCCUGGCCCACGCCAGCCGUACCCAGUAGCACAAUGGGAUUUGAGGACACACGCCAGCUGCCUACACCUGAAGAAAGGGUGAGCUCUGAGGACUUCACAGGGGCCCCAUCCCCUCACCUAGAUGAGGGCUAACCUUGGAAUCCAGACAAAGGUGGAAGUGACCUAGAUGUGACCUGAAUGAGCUAAUCAUCUAAUGAGAGCCAGCCCUUUGUCCUGCCCGCAUGAAGGGCUUUGCUGCUACGCACUGACGAGUUGGACGGCUUUUUAUUGCUUUCUUGCCAGUUAUCUGAACAUGAGAGGCUGUAAGGUGUAAUCUGCGAGCCCUGCGCCCAGACUGAGCCAGGGCCUCCCUUGAACAUGAGUAUUAGACAAUGAAAUAAGAACUUAUCUUGCCCAGACUAUAUAAUGGCUUGGAAAUGCAUAGUUUCCUGAACGAUCUCAAUAAAAUACUUCUAAAAG